GACUCAGUAGUCCAGUGGUAAAGCGCUAGUCGCGGAGCCAGAGGGUCCAAGGUUCGAUCCCAGACGGGGUCG
rnacentral:tRNA from 1 species